GCCCUUUUCGUCUAAUGGUUAGGACAUUGCAUUUUCUCUGCAAAUAUAUGAGUUCAAAUCUCAUAAAGGGUA
rnacentral:tRNA from 1 species